CCCCCCGUAGCUCAAUGGUAGAGCAGCGGCCUUUUAAGCCGAGGGUUGAAGGUUCGAGUCCUUCCGGGGGGA
rnacentral:tRNA from 1 species